rnacentral:rRNA from 1 species
ACAGCAGCAGCCGCGGGAAAACGUAGGUGGCAAGCGUUGUCCGGAAUUAUUGGGCGUAAAGGGCUCGCAGGCGGUUUCUUAAGUCUGAUGUGAAAGCCCCCGGCUCAACCGGGGAGGGUCAUUGGAAACUGGGAAACUUGAGUGCAGAAGAGGAGAGUGGAAUUCCACGUGUAGCGGUGAAAUGCGUAGAGAUGUGGAGGAACACCAGUGGCGAAGGCGACUCUCUGGUCUGUAACUGACGCUGAGGAGCGAAAGCGUGGGGAGCGAACAGGAUUAGAUACCCCGGUAGUCCCUGUCUCUUAUAA